AAUAGGGACUUCCUCAGGGACCACAAUAUUAAGAAACAAUUCGAUACAGUACAAUCAAAAAACAGCCUGUUUUUUGAUUGUACUGUAUCGAAUUGUUUCUUAAUAUUGUGGUCCCUGAGGAAGUCCCUAU
rnacentral:miRNA from 1 species